rnacentral:tRNA from 1 species
GGUCCCAUAACUUAAUUGGUUAAAGUAACAAACUCAUAAUUUGGAGAGUGUAGGUUCAAGUCCUACUGGGACCA